rnacentral:rRNA from 1 species
CAGUCGCCACGGUAAUACGUAGGGUGCGAGCGUUAAUCGGAAUUACUGGGCGUAAAGCGUGCGCAGGCGGUGAUGUAAGACCGAUGUGAAAUCCCCGGGCUUAACCUGGGAACUGCAUUGGUGACUGCAUUGCUAGAGUAUGGCAGAGGGGGGUGGAAUUCCACGUGUAGCAGUGAAAUGCGUAGAGAUGUGGAGGAACACCGAUGGCGAAGGCAGCCCCCUGGGCCAAUACUGACGCUCAUGCACGAAAGCGUGGGGAGCAAACAGGAUUAGAUACCCCUGUAGUCCCUGUCUCUUAUAC